rnacentral:rRNA from 1 species
UACGUAGGGGGCAAGCGUUGUCCGGAAUCAUUGGGCGUAAAGCGCGUGUAGGCGGCCAGAUAAGUCCGCUGUGAAAUCUCGAGGCUCAACUUCGAGCUGUCGGUGGAAACUAUCUCGCUAGAGUCCGGAAGAGGAGAGCGGAAUUCCGGGUGUAGCGGUGGAAUGCGUAGAGAUCCGGAAGAACACCGGUGGCGAAGGCGGCCUACUGGGCGAGUUUAGCUGACACUGAGGCGCGGACAGCGUGGGGAGCAAACAGG